rnacentral:tRNA from 3 species
GUCCCCUUCGUCUAGUGGCCUAGGACAUCGCCCUCUCACGGCGAAAACACGGGUUCGAGUCCCGUAGGGGACGCCA